AGAGAGAAUGCCGGAAUGAGUAGCGAGAUAUAUGUGAGAACCAUAUAGGCCGAAUAUCUAAGGUUUCCUGAGUGAAGCUAAUCUGCUCAGGGUAAGUCGGGACCUAAGGCGAGGACGAGAGUCGUAGUCGAUGGACAACUGGUAGAGAUUCCAGUACUAUGUAUAAUCAGAACUGUGGGGACGCAGGAGGAUAGAUGGACCGCGGAAAGGGAAGACGCGGCCAAGUACAAAGUCAAGUUAGGUAGGCAAAUCCGCCAAAUGAUGAUGAAGUACGACGGGGACUGAAAGAAAGUAAGGAAGUCAUUGAAUCCACACUGCCGAGAAAAGCCGCUAUAGUGUUAUACAUACCCGUACCGUAAACCGACACAGGUAGAUGAGGAGAAAAUCCACAGGCCGACGGGAGAAGUGUUGUUAAGGAACUCGGCAAAAUGACCCCGUAACUUAGGGAGAAGGGGAGCCACGAGAGUGGUCACAGAAAAGAGGCUCAAGCAACUGUUUAGCAAAAACACAGGUCUCUGCGAAACCGAAAGGUGAAGUAUAGGGGCUGACACCUGCCCGGUGCUGGAAGGUUAAAAGGAGAGGUUAGCCGCAAGGCGAAGCUUUGAAUUCAAGCCCCAGUAAACGGCGGCCGUAACUAUAACGGUCCUAAGGUAGCGAAAUUCCUUGUCAGGUAAGUUCUGACCCGCACGAAAGGUGUAAUGAUUUGAGCACUGUCUCGACAACACGCCCGGUGAAAUUGAAGAACCAGUGAAGAUACUGGUUACCCGCAACAGGACGGAAAGACCCCAUGGAGCUUUACUGCAGCCUGAUACUGGGAUUCGAUGAUGUAUGUACAGGAUAGGAGGGAGACAGAGAAGGUAGGACGCCAGUCUUGCCGGAGUCGCCGGUGGGAUACCUCUCUUACAUCAUUGGAUUUCUAACCUGCAUCCGUGAACCGGAUGAGGGACAAUGUCAGGCGGGCAGUUUGACUGGGGCGGUCGCCUCCAAAAGAGUAACGGAGGCGCUCAAAGGUCUUCUCAGAAUGAUUGGAAACCAUUCAAAGAGUGUAAAGGCAAAAGAAGGCUUGACUGCGAGGUCGACGGACCGAGCAGGUACGAAAGUAGGACUUAGUGAUCCGGUGGUAAUACGUGGGAAUGCCAUCGCUCAACGGAUAAAAGCUACCCUGGGGAUAACAGGCUGAUCUCCCCCAAGAGU
rnacentral:rRNA from 1 species